AGAGAGUAGACAGAGGCAGGCUGUCUUCAUGAACAUUCUCCAUACUUUUCCAGAUUCAUAGAAGCUACCAGAGCUUAUACUCCAUUGACAUAACUUCAAAAUCCCUGGAAUGCAUGACCAUUGCCAUACUCCUCUGAGCUACUUGAAGAGAACUUCAGAAAAGAGGUGAAUGUUUCUCCAAAGGAAAAAGAAAUCAAUCAAGAGUUGGAGAAAAUGUCAGCCUAGAAAAUCAUCCCACCGAUUUCAAGAUUAAAGAGAUACUAGUUUGUGGAAGCAUCCAGAAAGCAGAAACACUGAACACUAAGGACACUUGAGCGGCUAUUCCUCCGCCUUACUUGCUCUAAUACUACAUGACGGUUUUUCUUAUCUGCCUUGGUUAAUUCAUUUUAUAGUACUAUCUGGGAAC
rnacentral:lncRNA from 1 species